UACCAGCACCCCGAGUGGUCGGGACGAUUAUUGGGCCUAAAGCAUCCGUAGCCGGUUUUACAAGUCCUCCGUUAAAUCCAGCUGCUUAACAGAUGGGCUGCGGAGGAUACUAUAAGACUAGGAGGCAGGAGAGGCAAGCGGUACUCAGUGGGUAGGGGUAAAAAUCCGUUGAUCCAUUGAAGACCACCAGUGGCGAAGGCGGCUUGCCAGAACGCACUCGACGGUGAGGGAUGAAAGCUGGGGGAGCAAACCGG
rnacentral:rRNA from 1 species